GAACAAGCAUGUGCUUAGUACAGAAAGGAAAACCACCAAGGCACUAAGUCACUCAGAGACAAUUGAAAAUUAACAGGAUCUGUACAAACUGAACGUCAUAAAAAUUCCAAGUCCAGGCUCUGUCCUUCUGACGUAUUACACAAAGCAUGGGCACUGUCUGAGCAAACUCAGGGGAGACAGCUCAGCCAUAGCACUGGCCAGACAAACAGCAACAGAUGUUUGUUGAAUGAAUGGACACAUUAAUGAAUCCCAAUUGCCCUUCAAGUGCUCCAGAUACGGAGAAAGGAAACCGAUGGAUGACACAUCUAAUUUCAUCCCUACCAUCCACCCUGGACGGGGAAAUAGAUUCCCAUUUUACAGCUCCAGAGAACAACGCAGCCAUCCGCUUGUUCUUCUCUCCUCACCUCCACUGACUUCUAAACAGGCCCAGGUUUCAAACUACAGUUAUUAAUUACGGCACUGUGAUAAGCACCAGCUGAGGUUUCUGGGAUACAUCCUUUGUUCCUCCCAGAGCAGAACAGGUAUCUGUAAGGGACGGAUGAGCAGAGUCAGCUUGAACCCUCUGUGUUUACCAAGGUAAAUGAAAGCAAAAACUGACAAUGAUAACGGUGAUCCUCAGUCCUCUUCAGUCUCUCCAUGCCUCAUAACCAGAUGACUCUACAGUCCUCAGUUCCACAGUUCAGAAGGAAUUGGACAACCAGCUCCUGCGUUAAACUGAUCACUCUGAGAAGAGGUUCUAUGAGUUGCCUUUUCUUCAGGUGCAAGAACUUCACACUUAUUUUUAAUUAUAUGGUUUAAUUUUGUUUCCCAUCCUCUGGAUUCUUUCGUGAAAUAACGUGAGAGGACAUGGCUGUCCCCAAGUGCCUUCUCUAAUGAGAUCCACAGCUUCUAUAUCUCUCAUAAGAGAAGGAGCUGCUCAAGAAAACCUUGUGCACCUUGCUGACACUCCUGUACUCUUGUGUCUUAGUUAGUCCAAUCUAAUUUACAGUGUUCCCAAACAGAGCUUUCUUUCUUAAACAAACAAACAAACAAACAAACAAACAAACAAACAAACAAAAAAGCCGAGAUGAUUAAGAAGAAUAUAUGUGUGCCCAGAAGACAAGGACAAGAAGAUCAAUGGAAACUGUUGGACAAACCUUAACAUGGAAACAAUCUCACAUGUUCAUUAAUACAAAAAUAGGUGAAUUGUGGCAUAAGUAUACAAUCGUGUAUUUAUGAAGCAGUAAAAGUAAAUAAGCCCCCAAUGCAUGCAAUAGCGUGCCCAUAUUUACAAGUAUGAACAAGAGAUACCAGACACAAAAGAGACAUGCUUCGGUUUAUAUAGAGCUUGAAACAGACAAAGCUAACCCAUAGGAUGGGUAGUCAGGAUGGUACACCUUUUAGCUGCGAAUCAUCAUGAGACCUCUGGUGAGGGCUUGGGGUCAACCAUGUCUAUGCCUAUGGUAAAGAUAUUCACCAGGCGGUCAUUCUUUGGUCACCAGGCACCAAAGAUUUAAGAGCUUUACAUAGGUGUGUGAGACUUUUGCUUAGAGUAAUGUCAGGUGGUCAGUUAAUGACAGCACUGAAAUGGAGGUGGAAACAGGCCAAGAAUGAAAUGAAAAAUUAUUGAAAUGUGAGGAAGUUAAACCUACAUUUCUGAGAAGUAUGGAUAACAGCAGAAGGAAAGUGCGUUGUUCUAGAAUUGAAGGGAUAUUUGUGUUUAGCAUGGUGGGUUCUUUGAGAAAGACAAGAAAGCAUUUGUGGGUAGCUAGGAGUGGGAUAGCUCAGAAAAGAGUGAGUGGAGGAAACAAGAUUUGAGAGGAGAUGAGGGUGGGUGAAAACAGGCUUCAGUGGAAUUGGGGCUUAAUUAUAUUUUUAUUAGGAAUGUAUAUUAUUUAUAAAAUGAGUUUCAUUUUGAAAUUUCCCAACAUAAACAAAAUCUACUUUGUGUUCAUCACCUUUUAUUGUUUUUUGUCCCUCUCCCCCUUGUUAUGAGCCACUCGCCCCAUAUAUUCCUGUUUCUACUUUCAUGGAAUUUUUAAGGUAGGUUUUGCAUUCAAGAAAAAAAUGCAGUAUUUAUCUUUCUA